UACGUAGGUGGCAAGCGUUAUCCGGAUUUAUUGGGCGUAAAGGGAACGCAGGCGGUCUUUUAAGUCUGAUGUGAAAGCCUUCGGCUUAACCGGAGUAGUGCAUUGGAAACUGGGAGACUUGAGUGCAGAAGAGGAGAGUGGAACUCCAUGUGUAGCGGUGAAAUGCGUAGAUAUAUGGAAGAACACCAGUGGCGAAAGCGGCUCUCUGGUCUGUAACUGACGCUGAGGUUCGAAAGCGUGAGUAGCAAACAGG
rnacentral:rRNA from 1 species